UACAGAGGGUGCAAGCGUUAAUCGGAAUUACUGGGCGUAAAGUGUGCGCAGGCGGCCGAGCAAGUCGAGUGUGAAAGCCCCGGGCUUAACUUGGGAAUUGCGCUCGAAACUACUUGGCUGGAGUGUGGCAGAGGAAGGUGGAAUUCCAGGUGUAGCGGUGAAAUGCGUAGAGAUCUGGAGGAACACCGAUGGCGAAGGCAGCCUUCUGGGCCAACACUGACGCUCAUGCACGAAAGCGUGGGGAGCAAACAGG
rnacentral:rRNA from 1 species